GGAGGUCCUCCAGUGGAGCCGUCAUUUUCCAGAUGCAGACUCAGAGUCAGCUGGUCAGAGCGCCCACCUGGGAGAGUGCUUCACUCCCCUUCCAUCCCACGUGCGGUGCUUUCAAGGGGCUCCUCAAAUAAGGAAGGGAGGCUGGAGAUCAGGCGAGUAACCACAUCCUGCAUCAGGAAGAAAAGGCUUUCUCCCAGGCGGAUGUGGAAAGGCUUCUUGAAAUACCCUGGAGCCUGCUCUUACUACAGAAAAUGACAGCUGGCCAGUCCUCACAGCAAGUGGCUAGCUGAACCUGAAUGGCCCCUACAUUUUUUUAAAGAUACUGAUCCUGAACAGCCUGCAUCAGCACUGACUGUGUUCAGCAUGACUUGGAGUUCAAGGUGAACAGAGUCGUCCAAGUCUUUUCAGGGGCCGCUGCUGUUGCACUGAAUCAGCUCCAUCCUUGCGUCGCUCCCCUCAAGAUCAGGAUUCCAAGGAGGGAGAUGCCCAGCGGGGACCCAGAGCCAGGGAAGUCUGGUGUAACCUGAUUCACAGGCAAGCCUCCACCAGGACCACCCCACAACAGCACGCCCUGGGGGGAGGGUGGUCCCCCAAAGGAGAAGCAAGUGCUGCUACCAGAGAAGGUGGGAAAAGAACUUGACAGGUGGAAACAGCAGACAGCCCCCACACCUCCUCAUGGAAUGGAAUGCAUGAAAACAAGACUUUACACAUGGCAAGUGCUCAAAAUAGCAGCAAUGACUAGUCUCACCCAAUUUGUCAAUGUCUCAUAAAAUAUAUUUGGAAACACAAUCCAACUACACAUUAAAGCUAUAAGCUGCUAGACAAUACUUGCAUUAGCUUCUAUAAUUUGCAGGUUAUCUUUUGGGCCCUGGUUUCUGUGUUCUUCCAAAAUUCCCAAUAUAUAUUCUAAAUGAAAUAUGCAGCGCUGUACA